GCCUCUUUAGCUCAGUUGGAUCAGAGCACCGGUCUACGAAGCCGGAGGUCGCACGUUUGAGUCGUGCAGGAGGCGCCA
rnacentral:tRNA from 1 species